UACAGAGGGUGCGAGCGUUAAUCGGAAUUACUGGGCGUAAAGGGUGCGUAGGUGGUUUGAUAAGUUAGGUGUGAAAGUCCCGGGCUUAACCUGGGGAUUGCGCCUGAUACUGUCAGGCUAGAGUACUGUAGAGGGAAGUGGAAUUUCCGGUGUAGCGGUGGAAUGCGUAGAGAUCCGGAAGAACACCGGUGGCGAAGGCGGCCUGCUGGGACGUGGCUGACGCUGAGGCGCGACAGCGUGGGGAGCAAACAGG
rnacentral:rRNA from 1 species